CUGCUGAAGCUGAACGUUUUGCGGACUCACUGUAAUCGUGACCUGGCUGGGAUCGAUGCUGGUGUCUGAAAACUCUUCUGUGGAGUGGCGUAGGUCUGCAGCUCACAGGAGGAUGAUGACAGUGAGGAAGAGCCAGCAGGCUGGGAACGAUCCAGUUCAUUUUUGUGCCUGAGCAGAUAUAAGCUGGACUUCCAUCUCCUGGAUCUUCUGCAGGGCUUUCCCCGGAAGUCCAUCCUUCCACUCCUCCACCGCCCAGCUCAUGGUUUAACCUUACUAAAACAUACAUCCAUUUAUAUAAAAGUAAUGAGGUGAUGAC